rnacentral:rRNA from 1 species
AACGAACGCUGGCGGCAUGCCUAACACAUGCAAGUCGAACGAGAAGGUGUAGCAAUACACUUGUAAAGCGGCGAACGGGUGAGGAAUGCAUGGGUAACCUACCCUCGAGUGGGGAAUAACUAGCCGAAAGGUUAGCUAAUACCGCAUACGUUUCCGGAACUUCGGUUUCGGAAAGAAAGCAAUACCGUGGGUAUUGCGCUCCUGGAUGGGCUCAUGUCCUAUCAGCUUGUUGGUGAGGUAACGGCUCACCAAGGCUUCGACGGGUAGCUGGUCUGAGAGGACGAUCAGCCACACUGGCACUGCGACACGGGCCAGACUCCUACGGGAGGCAGCAGUAAGGAAUAUUGCGCAAUGGACGAAAGUCUGACGCAGCGACGCCGCGUGGGGGGAUGAAGGUCUUCGGAUUGUAAACCCCUUUCGGGAGGGAAGAUGGAGUGGGUAACCACUUGGACGGUACCUCCACGAAGCAGCCACGGCUAACUUCGUGCCAGCAGCC